rnacentral:rRNA from 1 species
GGGGGGGCAAGCGUUGUUCGGAAUUACUGGGCGUAAAGGGCUCGUAGGCGGCCAACUAAGUCGGACGUGAAAUCCCCAGGCUCAACCUGGGAACUGCGUCCGAUACUGGAUGGCUUGAAUCCGGGAGAGGGAUGCAGAAUUCCAGGUGUAGCGGUGAAAUGCGUAGAUAUCUGGAGGAAUACCGGUGGCGAAGGCGGCAUCCUGGACCGGCAUUGACGCUGAGGAGCGAAAGCCAGGGGAGCAAACGGGAUUAGAUACCCCGGUAGUCCUGGCCCUAAACGAUGAAUGCUUGGUGUAACGGGUAUCGAUCCCUGUUGUGCCGAAGCUAACGCAUUAAGCAUUCCGCCUGGGGAGUACGGUCGCAGGGCUG